rnacentral:lncRNA from 1 species
GAGAUUUAGAGAUUAAUUGGUUUCAGCUUCCAGAUAUUUGUACUAUUACUUCUUAGGUACAGUUGUAUACUUUAAUCAGGUGAUAUGAGGUAGCUAGUCAUUUCUUUUUUUUAUGAUGUAAGCAACAGCGAAUAAUAAUUAAGAUCCAGAAUUUCAAUAAAAGUUUCAAAAAGGUGUACUUUUUUUCUCAUUAGUUUUUUGCCUGGAUUCUUACCCUCAGCGCAAUGUUUUUGAGAUUCAUCCACACUGUAUCUCCUUAUCGUAGUUGAAUAUUAUCCCACUGUAUGGACAUAUUUACUGUUUGUUUAUCCACUCCCUUGUUGAUAGCCAUGUAGGCUGUUUCCAAGUUUUGGGUUAUUAUUAAUAAAUCUAUAACAUUCAAGUACAAAUUUUUGUGAGAAUAUACAACUUCAUUUCUCUUGUGAAGAUAGCCAGGAGAGGUUAUUUCUUGGUUAAACAGUAAGUGAAUGCUUGACAUUAUUUUAAAAAAAAAUACCAUUCAAAUUGAUUUCCAUUACCAGCAGCAAUACAUAAGAGGUAUAGUUGAUACACUUUCCAAUGCUAGAACUUAUUUUUUUUUAAUUUAGACAUUUUAGAAGGUAUACAGUAGCAUCUCAUUGUGAUUUUAAGUUGCAUUUCCUUAAUGUCUAAGAAUCUUGAUAAAGUUUUCAUGUGCUCUUUGACCACUUGCAUAUUAUUUUUGGUGAAACGCCUGCAAGCAUUUGCUUGUUCCAAAAUAAAUCUGUUUGAGUUGCAAGUAUUCUUUAUAUUUUCUGAGUUAAAAUAUUUUAUCAGAAGGAGUUCCAAUCAUGGCUCAGCGGUUAACGAACCUUACUAGCAUCCAUGGGAACUCAGGUUCAAUCCCUGGCCUCACUCACUGGGUUAAGGAUCUGAUGUUGCCAUGAGCUGUGGUGUAGCAGAUGCAGCUCAGAUCCCACGUUGCUGUGGCUGUGGUGUAGACAGGGAGCUACAGCCCUGAUUCGACCCCUAGCUUGGGAACCUCCAUGUGCUGCACAUGCGGCCCUAAAAAGACAAAGGAUUAAAAAAAAAAAAAAAGAAAAAAGAAUCAUGGAGCCAAAUGAUUUUAAUAUUUCUAGAAAGAAUAGAGAAUGGAGAAUGAGUCAAUAUAGAAAAAGAUUAUAGUUGACUUUUCCAGAGUUUAUUCCAUAAAAUUUUACUCACUAAACAAGGAUUAAAAACCCACCCAUGUACAGUAGGAAGUGGGAAAGUGGAUAAAAAGAAACAACAAGAAAAAAAAACUCAAAAUAAGAUAGUUAAACUCAAUCCAAAUAUGUGAAACAUACAUGUAUAUAAAAUAAGCUUACUUUUAUAAACAACACAAUACAACAAAGCUUAUUUUAAACAACACAACAAAGCUUAUUUUAUAUCCGCACAACUGUAUAAUUGCUAUAUACCAUUAAUGAAAGGCACUAAAAUACUUAAGAAUACAUACAAAUCAAAAGAUAUGAAUGGAAAAAAAUAUAUAUAUAAGGCAUAUUCUAAUAAAAAGGAAACAGUGGUUAUAGCAGUCAUAACAUUAGACAAAAUUUGUUUUAAGGCAAAAUAUAAUAUGGUAAAAGAGGAUCUACAUAAUGCAAAAAAAUUCCCAAAAUUGUGUCUAAACAUAAAUAUGAGUAAUAUAUAUUAGAGCCUCAGAAUGUAUAAAGCAAACAUUACAGAAAAAUAGAAAGUGACAACCCAACCGUUGUUUAUAAAAAGUUAUUACUAUAUUGAGAAAUUAUUUAUUUGUAAAAAAUUGACAAUUAAGGGAGUUCCUAACAUGGCUCAGUGGUUAGCAAACCCAACUAGUAUCCCUGAGGAUGUGGGUUCGACCCCUGGCUUUGCUCAGUAGGUUAAGGAUCCAGCGUUAUUGUGAGCUCUGGUGUAGGUCGCAGACACAGCUUGGAUUCCAUAUUGCUAUGACUGUGGCUAGGCCAGCAGCUACAGCUCUGAAUCGACCCCUAGCCUGAAACUUCCACGUGCCAUGGGUAUGGCCCUAAAAAGCAAAAAAGACAAAAAAAUUGACUGUUAAAAAACUUAUUUGCAAAAAAUAAAACAAAACUCUCAUAGCUAAAGAAUUUAUAACAAACAACUUGUAUUCACUAACUACAUGUAAUUAAACUGAAAAUAAUAUAGAGUUAGAAAAACAUUAGGAAAUUUUACAAAAUAAAACUGCUUCUACGUAACUCAUAGGGAAAAACAAGUCAUAGCAGAAGUUAGAAAACUAGAAAAUUUAAAUAUAAAUAAAUCUUAAAAAAAUAAGCACUACACAAGAAAUUUGUGGAAUUAAAUCUUGCAGAAUAUAACUGAAGUGUCAUUGAGAAUAUGUAUAGAUAUAAAUACUUGCAUUGGAAAAUCAUAAACUGUAAAUAACUAUACUUGCAACUCCAUAUUUGUGAAAAGUAGAGAAAACCCAAUGAAAUUUCUAAAAAUUAAUUAAGCAAUGAAACCAGAGAAACUAAUGAACUAUAAUGUCAACAAAUAAUUAAUAAAAUCAAAUGCUGAUUCUUUUUUUAAAAAGUAAUAAAAUAGACAGAACUCUGACCAUAUGUCAAGCAAACCAAAGAAGACAGAAGUGAAUAAUAUUAGACUUCUCAAAACCAAAGACAUAAUGAUUUAAUACAUCAUAAGAGAAUACUCUUAAAAAA